rnacentral:rRNA from 1 species
UUCCUAAAACAUAGUGUUAAUGCACCAAAUCCCAUUAGAACUCCGCAAUUAAGCCCGCUUGGGCUAGAGUAGUACUGGGAUGGGUGACCACCCGGGAGGUCCUAGUAUUUUACAUGC